CAAUAGCGUAUAUUUAAGUUGUUGCAGUUAAAAAGCUCGUAGUUGGAUUUCGGUUAAGAGCGACCGGUCCGCCGUUUGGUGUGCACUGGUUGGUUUUAACUUCCUGUAGAGGACGUGCUCUGGGUUUAACGACCUGGACUCGGAGUCUACGUGGUUACUUUGAAAAAAUUAGAGUGUUCAAAGCGGGCUUACGCUUGAAUAUUUCAGCAUGGAAUAACACUACAGGACUCCUGUCCUAUUUCGUUGGUCUCGGGACGGGAGUAAUGAUUAAGAGGAACAGUUGGGGGCAUUCGUAUUUCAUUGUCAGAGGUGAAAUUCUUGGAUUUAUGAAAGACGAACUUCUGCGAAAGCAUUUGCCAAGGAUGUUUUCAUUAA
rnacentral:rRNA from 1 species